rnacentral:rRNA from 1 species
CAGUAGCCACGGGAAUACGAAGGGGGCUAGCGUUGUUCGGAUUUACUGGGCGUAAAGGGUGCGUAGGCGGAUUGUUAAGUCAGGGGUGAAAUCCCGAGGCUCAACCUCGGAACUGCCUUUGAUACUGGCGAUCUUGAGUCCGGGAGAGGUGAGUGGAACUGCGAGUGUAGAGGUGAAAUUCGUAGAUAUUCGCAAGAACACCGGUGGCGAAGGCGGCUCACUGGCCCGGUACUGACGCUGAGGCACAAAAGCGUGGGGAGCAAACAGGAUUAGAUACCCCGGUAGUCCCUGUCUCUUAUAC